AAGAUUGUAGGACAAGCAGGAAACAGGACUGUGCCCCUUAGAUAUAUGCUGGUCAGUACCACACUUUUCAAGGGUUACCAUCCAAAUUACCAAAAUGUAAUAGAUGAAGAUUUCUCUUGAUCCUUACAGUUAUGGUUGGACGAUUUGGGCAGCUUGUACAUAUGCAACCAGUUUCUCAUAUUUUCAUUCUGAAAACUGUGAGUGGAGGGAUUCCGCGGGUUGUAGCCUUGUUUCUUCGAUUCUUUUUCGAACUUCAGGGUUUCUUGGUGCUAGAUAUUGUCGAGCAGAGAGCAGGAAUAGGGCGUCAACAUAUUCUUCAGUUUCAAUCUAGGUAAACUUAGAAUUUUGGACUUUUCUGUAAUUGUUAUUGAUCUAAUAGAAAUUGGAAUAGUUUUUUUAUUUAGAGUUCAAUUUCAUAUUGAUUUUUGUUCAUGAUUCUUUUGAGUUUGAAAUAUCAGUAGGUUAAUUUUGAUUGA